AUACGGAGGGUGCGAGCGUUAAUCGGAAUUACUGGGCGUAAAGCGUACGUAGGUGGUUUGAUAAGUCAGAUGUGAAAGCCCUGGGCUUAACCUGGGAACUGCAUUUGAUACUGUCGAACUAGAGUAUGGUAGAGGGAAGUGGAAUUUCCGGUGUAGCGGUGAAAUGCGUAGAUAUCGGAAGGAACACCAGUGGCGAAGGCGGCUUCCUGGACCAUUACUGACACUGAGGCACGAAAGCGUGGGGAGCAAACAGGAUUAGAAACCCCAGUAGUCC
rnacentral:rRNA from 1 species